CAAACAUAAUCAUUGAUGGUAUAACUCACAUAUCCGGAGCUGGCAACUAACAUUAAGGCUAUCUUUUAACAYAAUAUCWACUAAGAAUGUAAAAGGUACAUCUAAACGUUUUAAUUGAAUAGGCGUUUCCCGAUUUAGACUCGUUAAGCUGCAAUAAAAGUCGAAAUUAAAGUUCAGAAUACACUUCUAGCUCGCAUAAWCAUGAAAACAGGCCAAGUAASGAAGUGAACAUUAGCUGAUAAAACAGCAAUUAAUACUACCCAACUGACGCUACAAGUAGCUUUAACUUUUAGCAUUUAGCUCAACUGCGAAGAAAACACGGAGACGUCAAAAGUAACGAGCUGGGCCGCUGCUACGAGCUAGCUGGCUAACAGGUUAGCCUCGCCACCUUCAGGGAACAUAUGGCUUCACAUAAAAACAAAUGAUCCUGUGUUUGGUGGAGCUCCUCUUCUCAUCUGCCAGCAAGAGAGCAUCAUCAGAAAGCCAGCAGGAGACACACUGAUGCAAUUUCCCUGAAAUAAAAGCCACCAGCUGGAUGCGUCAGCCUGGGAACCUUU